AGUGAACGCUGGCGGUAGGCCUAACACAUGCAAGUCGAACGGCCGCACAGUAAGAGCUUGCUCUUACGGGUGGCGAGUGGCGGACGGGUGAGGAAUACAUCGGAAUCCACUUUUUCUUGGGGGACAACGUAGGGAAACUUACGCUAAUACCUCAUACGACCUACGGGUGAAAUCAGGGGAUCUUCGGACCUUGCCUGUCUCAUUGAGACGAUGUCGGAUUAGCUAGUUGGCGGGGUAAAGGCCCACCAAGGCGACGAUCCGUAGCUGACCUGAGAGGAUGAUCAGCCACACUGGAACUGAGACACGGUCCAGACUCCUACGGGAGGCAGCAGUAGGGAAUAUUCGACAAUGGGCGCAAGCCUGAUCCAGCCAUGCCGCGUGGGUGAUGAAGGUCUUCGGGUUGUAAAGCUCUGUUAUUGGGAAAGAAAAGCAGCAUGUUAAUACCUCGAUGUUCUGACGGUACCCAAAGAGUAAGCCACGGCUAACUUCGUG
rnacentral:rRNA from 1 species